GCGGCAACAGCUCAAAUUUGAAAUCUGGCCCUCGGGUCCGAGUUGUAAUUUGUAGAGGAUGCUUUUGGCGCGGUGCCUUCCGAGUUCCCUGGAACGGGACGCCUUAGAGGGUGAGAGCCCCGUACGGUUGGACACCAAGCCUCUGUAAAGCUCCUUCGACGAGUCGAGUAGUUUGGGAAUGCUGCUCUAAAUGGGAGGUAAAUUUCUUCUAAAGCUAAAUAUUGGCCAGAGACCGAUAGCGCACAAGUAGAGUGAUCGAAAGAUGAAAAGCACUUUGAAAAGAGGGUUAAAUAGCACGUGAAAUUGUUGAAAGGGAAGCGUUUGCGACCAGACCUUUUCCUAGCGGAUCAUCCGGUGUUCUCACCGGUGCACUUCGCUAGGUUUAGGCCAGCAUCGGUUUCUGUAGGGGGAUAAAAGCUCUGGGAACGUAGCUCCUUCGGGAGUGUUAUAGCCCUCUGCAUAAUACCCUUGCGGGGACCGAGGACCGCGCUUCGGCAAGGAUGCUGGCGUAAUGGUCGUCAACGACCCG
rnacentral:rRNA from 1 species